UCACAAACACAAGAACAUGAUAGGCUAUGAUUGUCUUGGCAAAUCACAUGUAGGAUGUGAGUAUAUUUUCAUAUUCCACAAGGUAUAUUAAUGACAAAGGCAGCAUAUGUAAUAAUAAAGUACUAUACUAUUGUGGAUUCUAUUCUAUAUUGGCUAUUAAAUUCCCUUUGAAUGGAAGCCAGCAUGUGAGUGUAUCUUUAUAAGCAAGAGCCUCAGAAUCCACAGAACUAGCAGGAGUGUGCCUAGACCAGGCGUUCACAGGUUAUCAGAUUUUUGCUUUAUUUUCUCAACAGGUCAUCUUGACUUAUUCACAGUGUCAACUGACAACACACCUCUUGAAUUCAAGAGAAAAAGUGAUAGUUUUGAGGGACUGUGAUUCAGAAACAAAAAUUCAGAUUACUGUGAAAGAACCGUUUCACUGGAGAAAAGAUUUAAUAAACAAAGGCAUGGAUCAAUGUAUUUGCUAGACACUUUGCUGAGGGCAGUCCAUAAAUGUCUUGCAACAAAUCUGGGAAACCACUGCUACAGGACUGUGAUGCUAUUUAAGCUACCUAUCUGCUAAGUGGAUAUAUUCUAAAAGUUUUAGUCAAGAGUCUGGAGGGUGUUAAACAAAACACAGAGAAGGGCAAUAAGUGGCUAUCGUGGGAACUAAAGAUACCACAGGGUAAUUUUGACGUUUCAUCUGCACCAUUCCAGUUCUCCAUGGUGACCCUUUUAAUUCGUCCCUUCCCUUAUAGGAUCUGCAGCCUGGUGCAUGAGAAAUCUGCAAGUAAUAUAACCUUAUAGGAGUAUGCUUCUCGAAUGGGUUUCAUUUUCAGAUGAUAAAAUAACACUUGUCGUGAGAACUGCCUGAGGGGCAGAGUAGUAGAGAACCACGGUGAGUUCCAUGAGACAGUUCCUCUCUGGCUGUUGGCAUAGAGCGUACGAUCUCCAGUUCUUCCCUUUUCACAACAUGCAGUAAUUUUGCUAUAGCACAGAUCACUUUCUUCUUGUUUUGCUUUAGCAACUUGCCAUUGUCUGUCCUUUGAAAUCACCAAAAUACCUGCUUCUAUUUUCUCCUUGACACAGACAUUUAGCUGCCCCCUCAACUGUUCUGGAAAAUUCCUUGCUCGUUCUUCCAAUUGCUAGAGCACAGCAAGUCUCACCAGAUUUCUGCCCUGUAUAGCCUCUCUUUACCACAGCCUAAAUGCCACUGUUCAAAUCUCCUUUCUUGCUUGUCAUUUUGACAAGGAUAUCACGUAUUUCCUGGAAAUCUCCCCUGGCUCCCCACAGUUUUGCUGGCCAAGUAACUGUCACACUUGCUUUCCAAGUAAAGUGGCACUAGGCUUCAUUAUUCUUCUCUGCAUCCUUGUAUCCUUAGAGACCCUGUAGCACAGCAGCCCCCAGUCCCCCUCCUCCCAAGCUUCUAGUUUCUCACACAGACUUUAUGUGCUUUUCUUUAUUCUGAAGUGACCAGUCAUUGGCACUAGUUCUCUAAGAUAUGCUACUUCAAACUCUUUGUGUAGCAUUUUUUAUCACCUGCUAUAGUUUGACCUGCUCAUUGAAUAUGUUUGUGUGUGUUUGUGUGUAUACAUACAUACAUACAUACAUACAUACAUACAUACAGAGUCUUUGACUGACUGUAUAGGUUUAGAUAUAGGUAUAGGUAUAGAUAUAUUUAUUUAAAUGCAAGUCGUAUUUCACUAGUUAAAGUAUAACAGUCAUGUCACUAGCCAGCAAUGACGUUACUAUAAACAUUAAUAGGAUGGAAGUAGAGAAACUCACCACAUUCUAAUUAGAUUCUGCCAUCUGCUUCAGACUUGUGCUUAUGUUUUCUCUGUCUUUAAUACUCAGGUGGUUUGUAAUAUUUGAAUCCUCAUGAUGACAGACUAACUCAUACCAGAGACCUACAGUUCUUUGUAGCCUAUAAGGUGGAGUGGGAAUUUGCAGGGAUUGGCUUUCCUGUGAUGAACUCACUGAUGUCUCACACAAAGCACAUGCUAAGGUUAUCACAGGUCCUGUGAUAAUGCAGGUAGAAACGUAUAACAAAACAAGAAGGGCCAAACCAACCAAUUGUGAACUUGACAGAAUCUAGAAUCAUCUAGGAGAUGGGCUUCUAGCCAUUUGUGGGCAGGGGAUGGGAAGGGGUGUGCAUCUUAAUUACGUUAAUUGAGAUACCCACACUGGGUAGCACCACUAUCUAGUCAGAGUCCCAGAGAAUAUAGCUGGAGAAAGCGAACUGAGCAGCAGAGUACAUCCAUCUUCUGGCUCUCCUGACCAUGGAUGUGAUAUACCAGGGGCUUCAGUUCCUCCCGACAUGGUUUCCCACCAUAAUGAGUUAUUCCUUGUGAGACAAAAUAAACUUCCUCCACUCUUAAGUUUCUUUUAUCAAGAGAGUUUAUGUCGGCAACAGAAAGAACAACUGAGUGAACCCCUAGGAGUCCAUUUUCACACUCCUUUCUUAACUUGUUCCCACAUUUAAUCAUUAGAUGAAAAAUCUAUGGUGAUCCUAAUACAUGAAAAACACCGUCCUUACACAUGAACCCCAGAAGGAGUUAUAUCCACCUGCUGAUCCCAAGAGACUUAUAGUCACCCCCAAACAUGUGUCCAGGAAGUACCAAUAUGAGUAUUGUUGCCUUUUCUCUGAGUCUAGCACCUACCUGAUGAUAAAAAUCCCAGGUUUAAAGGAAGCUGAAGCUCUGGGGUAUGGACUCAAAUAGCAGGCAGGGUAGAGGGUGAGAAUGAGAUUGGGAUAGUCAGAUAACCUAAUACAGGCAUCCGAGAUAGAAAACUGUUACCUGUGUAGUGUUCAAAGGGACCAGAGAAGAGGUUCACAUUUUAAAAGCAAAGAAGGAAUUUCAUUUUUGAUCUGCCUUUUUUUAAACCAACAGCUAAUUUUUUGCUGUAUUUAUUACAGUGUAAUUUGAUAUCCUUUGAUAAAACCUUAUGGUGUGGUAAAACGUGACAUAUGUAUAAUUUAUUCUCUAGUUGUGAAAGGUUUUACCCCUGUUGCAUAAAGCUAGAGCCUCUCUAAGUUGGAGUCUGGUCAGAGAAACCAACUGGGUAGAGGAAGGCUUUCUCUAAGGCAUGUAUGGCACAUUCAUGCUUGUUCGCUCCAUUGACAAGAUGCUGAAUGCAGGGUUAUUCAUUCCAUCCUAGACUACUAAUUCCAAUAACCUACUGAAGUCCAUUUCAGUUUUGAGAUGAUCCUGAAAUCAUCUGUUAACAGAAAAACAAACAACAAGUGGAUGCUCACAGACAUCUAUUGGAUGGAACACAGGGCCCCCAAUGAAGGAGCUAGAAAAAAAUAUCCAAGGAGCUAAUGGGUUCUGCAACCCUAUAGGAGGAACAACAAUAUGAACUAACCAGUACCCCCCAGAGCUUGUGGCUCUAAUUGCAUAUAUAACAGAGGAUGGCCUAGUAGGCAAUCAAUUGGAGGAGAGGCCCUUGGUCUUGCAGAUUGUAUGCUCCAGUACAAGGGAAUGCCAGGAUUAGGAAGCUGGAAUGGGUGGUUUGGGGAACAUGGUGGCUGGAGGGUAUAGGGGCCUUUGGGGAUAGCAUUUGUAAGGUAAAUGAAGAAAAUAUCUAGUAAGAAAGAAAGAAAGAAAGAAAG
rnacentral:lncRNA from 1 species